rnacentral:lncRNA from 1 species
UUCAGCAUCCCAUUCCUCCAAAAGCAGCAACACCACUCAUUUCCUUCUCAGUUACUUUUUCUCUUUCUUUUUUUUCUUUUCUUUUCUUUUUCUUUUUACUCUCUUUUAUAAAUGCCCCACCACCUCCUUAGCUCUCACCUCGUCACACCUCUCUCUCUCUCUCUCUCUCUCUCUCUNAAAUAUGUAAGUCCAAUUAUUAUUAUUAGAGUCCACGGUCUCUGAUAUGUCCAAGCAUAACCUCAUUUUCAUCCGAUGUGAGAUCAUUAGAGUAUCACAAAAAAUUAUUUACAAUUUAUUUCUCGAUUUAUCCAAGGACUA